CCUUCUCUAGCCUGUCUGGGAAACACACACUCUACAGACACACUCUCGGGCUCUCUGCCUGUCUACAGCUACCAUUCCGACACUUCUAGCUCUAGAUCAGACAGCUGCCAGAUGAAUCAGACCAUGCAACCCUCCCACAGCUCUCAUCCCAGGACACCCCUCAGAUCUGUCCAUCUGCGGGCCACAGAGACUGGCUCUGCCCUGUGUGUCUGCAAACUGCCAGCUUCCCUGUACAGACCAACUGGGGCCAUCUCUACAGUGCUCCCUGUCUGAUCUCGUACUGGAGACUUGGGUCCUGGCUGGAUGCCAUCUGCUGCCCUCUGUGUAGACAAAGGGUCAGUGUCCUGUGUCAUCUAUUUUGGUGAGGGUCGGUCAGACGGGGUCGGUCAGGGAGGUUCUGGGAGAAUUUACAGACUACAACAAACGUUACCUCUCGAAGGGUGACAGACUACUUGUGUGACACGCCCCUGUUCCUGCAGCUGCUAGCUCGCGGCCUGGGUGCUAUGGGGGGGGGGGCUCGUGUGCCCCUUCUUUCUCAGAGUGGUGCUCUGCUGUCUUGGGGCCAUGGUGUCCCUCUCCUCUGCCCCCCUGGACACUUCAUCCUCCCUGUCUGGCCUCCUGGGGGUCCUGGAUGUCCUGGUGGUGGUCUUCCUGCUGCUCACCUGUGUUAUCAACAUCAACCAGCAAAUGGCGCCAGAGAGUGGGAACUCCUCACCACACACAGCCACACAGGGAUUAGGUCUGCUCAGUAACUCGCUGUAGCAGCAGAGAUGACAACCUGCAGUGAUUUAACCUUUGUUUCAACAGGAGAUCUCAAGGUGAAGAAACUAUUUUUUGAUUGAGACCUGGCAAAAUGUCAGCAGCGUCCAUCUGCUGGUUUUCAUCCUGGUGUUAGCAGGUGUUGAACUCACUGUAGCACUAGCAUAGACAACCUUUAGGUUUACAGCUAAUUACAGGCGAACAGAAGGCAGUCUAACCAGGGGCCCAGUUUAUGCGUUGAUGAAUGUAUGCUGAUGUACGUGUCUCAACUGUCUCACACCUUGUCUUCUUUCUUUCCUUCAUGACCAGUGAUCUGGUGAGAUGGUUAAAGCUACAUGGUGGAACCUACACAACUAGUUUCACUAGUGCGGUGUAGGCCUACCAGUGGAGGCUGGUGGGAGGAGCUAUAGGAGGACAGGCUCAUUAUAAUGGCUGGAAUGGAAUCUAACAUAAUUCCAUUCUAGCCAUUACAACCAGCCUCCACUGAGUCCUACUCAACUCAUUUGAGUGGGCAUGUUUGAUGGAUUACGAUGUAGCAUUUUAUUUCGUUUUUUUGUGUAGUGUUUUUUUGUGUGUAGUAUUUCUACUCCUACAGUAUAUACAGUACCUGUAGCCUUUAUUUUGGAGACAGUUAUGGUUAUCACUGGCCUUCAGUGAUUCAGUGAGACCCGGGGUCUGUUCAGGAGGGUGCAGAUUAAAUGUAGGCAUAUUGUGUUGCACCCUACUGUAAAAUUAAACUGUAAAUACUUGAUAUUUUA